rnacentral:rRNA from 1 species
AUUGAACGCUGGCGGCAGGCCUAACACAUGCAAGUCGAGCGGAUGAAGGGAGCUUGCUCCUGGAUUCAGCGGCGGACGGGUGAGUAAUGCCUAGGAAUCUGCCUGGUAGUGGGGGAUAACGUCCGGAAACGGGCGCUAAUACCGCAUACGUCCUGAGGGAGAAAGUGGGGGAUCUUCGGACCUCACGCUAUCAGAUGAGCCUAGGUCGGAUUAGCUAGUUGGUGGGGUAAAGGCCUACCAAGGCGACGAUCCGUAACUGGUCUGAGAGGAUGAUCAGUCACACUGGAACUGAGACACGGUCCAGACUCCUACGGGAGGCAGCAGUGGGGAAUAUUGGACAAUGGGCGAAGGCCUGAUCCAGCCGUGCCGCGUGUGUGAAGAAGGUCUUCGGAUUGUAAAGCACUUUAAGUUGGGAGGAAGGGCAGUAAGUUAAUACCUUGCUGUUUUGACGUUACCAACAGAAUAAGCACCGGCUAACUUCGUG